ACAAAGCACCAGUCCUCUGAUUCGUCCGCAUCCUCCUCUUUCUUUUCAUCCUCUUUAGAAGACUUCAUUUCUGCUGAGAAUUCUAGAACUCCUCUUCUUCCAGCUCAGAACAUAGAUACAGCUUAAUCAGAAGUAACAUCUACAGGCUAAGCAGAAGAGGAAAUAAAAAUUCUCCCCUCUGCCUUGCAAAGCAAGAAACCAAAAGAAGAAACCAUAGAAUCGCGAAAUCGUUUUGGUUUAAACUUUAAAACCAAACAGUGCCCUAAAUGUAGCCAUGUGAAGAACUGGUAAUGCAGCUUUAAUGGAGGUCGAUUCUCACCUUUCACAGUUCAAGACGGCAGAGAAUAGACGCUUGUGCGCUGGAGGAUUGCUUGGUUUCCUUGUUGAAAAUGAGAGAUUUUGAAUAGACCUUUUAGUUUUCCCUCCUCAUGUUCUUCAUAUAAAAGCAUUUAAAUCGGAACUGAAACGCGAGAGAGGGGGAAGAGGGAGAGUAGGA
rnacentral:lncRNA from 1 species